GGGAAUAUUGGACAAUGGGCGAAAGCCUGAUCCAGCAAUACCGCGUGUGUGAAGAAGGCCUGAGGGUUGUAAAGCACUUUCAAUUGGGAGGAAAACCUGCCGGUCAAUACCCGGCAGCUUGACAUUACCUUUAGAAGAAGCACCGGCUAACUCCGUGCCAGCAGCCGCGGUAAUACGGAGGGUGCAAGCGUUAAUCGGAAUUACUGGGCGUAAAGCGUGCGUAGGCGGUUAUUUAAGUCAGAUGUGAAAGCCCCGGGCUUAACCUGGGAACUGCAUUUGAUACUGGGUAACUAGAGUUUAAUAGAGGAGAGUGGAAUUUCAGGUGUAGCGGUGAAAUGCGUAGAGAUCUGAAGGAACACCAGUGGCGAAGGCGACUCUCUGGAUUAAAACUGACGCUGAGGUACGAAAGCGUGGGUAGCAAAC
rnacentral:rRNA from 1 species